GUGCCAGCCGCCGCGGUAAUACGGAGGAUGCAAGCGUUAUCCGGAAUGAUUGGGCGUAAAGCGUCCGCAGGUGGCACUGUAAGUCUGCUGUUAAAGAGCAAGGCUCAACCUUGUAAAGGCAGUGGAAACUACAGAGCUAGAGUACGUUCGGGGCAGAGGGAAUUCCUGGUGUAGCGGUGAAAUGCGUAGAGAUCAGGAAGAACACCGGUGGCGAAAGCGCUCUGCUAGGCCGUAACUGACACUGAGGGACGAAAGCUAGGGGAGCGAAUGGGAUUAGAAACCCGCGUAGUCC
rnacentral:rRNA from 1 species